rnacentral:tRNA from 1 species
UCCUCGUUAGUAUAGUGUUUAGUAACCCCGCCUGUCAUGCGGGAGAGUAGGGGUUUGAUUCCCCGACUCGGAG